rnacentral:piRNA from 1 species
AGCCGGGCUUUGGUGGCGCACGC